UAUAGCUUCCGGGGGCAAUAGGAAAUAACGGCACCAAGAAACAAGCCACCUUCGGUUUGUCUCUCUAGCAUUGAAGACAUCCUGAUCUAUUCUUCAUUUUUUUUGUAUGAUUUCCGUUGGGAAGGCUGCCAUUUUGAGACAGCCCUUCGGGAAAGGGUCUUCCUAUGAAAUUCACUCUGCCUUGGAACUCACUGUAUAGCCUAGGCUGACCUCAAAUUCAUGGAGAUCCUCCUGCUUCAGCCUCCUGAGUGCUGGGAUUAUAGGAGACUCUUCAGCCUUCCUGUGUGGAUCCCUCAGCCUUCCGUCUCAGAUCCUUUGGCCUCCUUAUAUGGACUCUUACAAGACUCUGAAGUGAGCUCCAGGCCUUUAACUUUCAACUGGAUUUCUGAUGUACAGACAACCCUUCUGCAGUCUUCCACACCUGACUCUGCAGGCAGCCACUGUAAGCUUGCCUUGUAAAUCCUGAUAUACGGAGUCUACCAAAAAAAGGCAUUGCAGUAAAGUGAGAAAAUAGAUCAUAAACCUGUUGUAAUCCUUUCAUUCUCAUUCAUAUUUUGAAGUAACAAAAGCUUUGAAGAUACAAGAUUGGAUACUGAUUGUUAAGUAAAGUGCGUCCUUCACAUCGCAAAGAAGAAACAAAGGCAGAUCACAGAUGACUUCUUUCGUGAAAAAAUUUGCUUGGUUCUCUCUGACUGCAUUGUGAUGGGAAUCAAACAGGCCACGAAAGAAGUUAGAACCUAGAUUCGAUGGCAAAGAUGGUGCAAAAUGAAGACUACAUGAGAUUAUUCUUCACAAGAUUCACUACUAUUAUAUUCAAAUCCUUGAAUAUUUUGACAGUGACUGCAGCAUUUUCCAUUCAUCUACUUCACCUGACCUGCAAUGGCUGAACUAUCAUUUCGUAGAAGUGUUAAUCAUGGUAAUAUUUGAGUACUGAUAAGGUAACCCUCCGAAGCUCUCUUGUUACCCUAGAGAGAUACCUUUACUGUCUGCUGAUCCUUCCAGUGCUUGGUAGCCUCCAUGGUCUGUUGCAUGUCAGGAACAGAAUAAGUGGUUCUGGAGGUAAAGGUUGCCUCCAUAUGAGGCCUAGAAUGAAGAGUGCAGGCGGGACUGGUCUGUCACAAAAAUUUAAAGUUCACUACGAAGUAGAUCAAGAAACUGAGUCCAAAGGCACUGUGUUACCAUGACCAUUUGGAACCUCUUCAUGUCCAUGCUAUUUGUGCAUGCCAUCAAAUGCUGUUGGUUUCCUUUGACGAUUUGUGUCUUCCUUGUAUGCUAUAGGCUUUUCAGAGUGCCCCUAGAAAAAGGUGCAGCAGGGUGAAAGGCAGUCCAGGAACAUUUUUGCCAGUAUUUAACCUGGUACAUCACUCUUUGUUCCCUGUUUCUCUUUGAAGAAACUAUUGGCAUUUAGGCAACUGUCCUUUAGCGGCCCUCUGCUAUAUUACACACACACUCAGACAGUCACACACUGGGAGAAACAUAGGUUAUUUCAAGGGUAACUUGUGUAGGGAAAACAUACACGAGGAAUUUGUAUGUUACUUAAGUGUCCAUGCUCAUACUCACUUAGCUCUGUAUGAUCAGUCUUGUUUUUUCCUGAACCUUCCUAUAUUAGCAAGGCUUUUUCAUGUGUGGUCCGUCAGUGAUGUUUUUCUGGCACCAUGGACAGAAUUUAGGACCCAAAUUGGUUCCUUACCUACUUGCAUCCACCACUCAUUAGCACAGGUCAGGAAACAAGGGACUCCAGUGUAUGUGUGAAGAAGGUGGUAUCCCUAAAGUGGUUCCUACUUUGUAAUUGUGCUUCUUGGGGACUGAUUGCUUAGCUGUGUAGCCUGCUAUGCUGCGAAAUGUUUUCAUCCCGCCCAGUUGGGACGGUAGGACCAGAAAUUGCCUGCCGACAAUGUCUGUGCCGUUUAUGCUCAUCCAUACCUGCAACAUGCCAUUGAAUUUUUGGCUUGGGUUUCCCUCUCUGUUUUUUUUUUUUUUUUCUCGUGCAGAGAUCCCUUUACUGUCUGCUGAUCCUUCCAGUGCUAGGGAGCCCCCAUUCUCUGUUGUAUGUCAGGUGCAGCCUAAGGGAUAGUGGAAGAACUGGUUGCCUCCGUAUUAGGCCUAGAAUGAAGGGUGGAGGAAGCAGUGGUCUGUCACAAAAAUUUAAAUUCCACUAAGAAACAGGCUAAGAAACUGAGGCCAA